rnacentral:tRNA from 1 species
GCCUGGGUGGCUCAGUUGGUUAAGCGUCCGACUUCAGCUCGGGUCACGAUCUCGCGGUCCGUGAGUUCGAACCCCGUGUCAGGCU